rnacentral:tRNA from 1 species
GGGGUUGUAGCUCAGUUGGUAGAGUGCUUGCCUAGCACAUGUGAGCCACUGGAUUCGAUGCUCAGCACCUCAUAAAAAUAAAAUAAAGGUAUUGUGUCCAUCUACUAUAAAAAAAUAUUUGAGGGCUGGGACUGUGGCUCAGUGAUGAAUCGCUUGCCUAGCAUGUGUGAGGCACUGGGUUCAAUUCUCAGCACUGCA